rnacentral:rRNA from 1 species
GGGUGCAAUCAUACCAGCACCAAUGUACCGGAUCCCAUCAAAAUUCCGGAGUUAAGCUUGCUUGGGCGAGAGUAGUACUAGUUUGGGUGACCUCUUAGGAAGUCCUCGUAUUACACCCC